rnacentral:lncRNA from 1 species
AAAGCUUCAGCUAACAUGGAGUCAUGAAGAAAACCAACAGGACAAAGGUUCUCAGUGAUACAGCAACUGUUCAACUGGUGGAGGAAGUCAACGCUGAGGAAAGCCUACGGGCUGGCUGGAAGAUGGCCCAAGGCUAUGAGCCAUCCUAGGGGCCCAGAGGAGAAGGAAUGGGAGUGCUACUGGCUCAAGACUUGAGUUCCUCUAGAGUGAGGGCUCUCGGUGGUAACUCAACUGUGUGUUCAGUCCAAAUCCGACAUCUGUUCUUCAAGGUUCAGAUCAAGUCUGUUCUCUCCCACAAAGUCCUCCUCCAUUCUGUCAAUGAACAUUUGCAGAAUGGCUCCCAGGUGCCUGGGACAUAUUGAUGACUAAGACAGUCUCUGCCCUCAAGAGCUGGGUGAAUGAGGCAAAUACAUUAGCAGAUGAUAGUAGUGCUGCCAAGCCUUUUUCACUUAAUAAAACACAGAGAAAAUGAAAAUAUUUAUCAUGGCACCUUGGGCUGCUUGUAGCUGGCUCCAGGUCCCACCCAGUACCCAGACACUCCAAAGGCUGAGAAACUCUCAGGCUUGCCUUCCUCUAACCUACUUGUGGCAAACCAGCUUGGAAACUCAGAGUGAGGCUAUACGCUCUGAUAGGAGUAGGGACAGAUUGCAGCCGGUGUCUUUCCCAGGCAUGUGGGUAAGGGGAGGCUUCCUAGGCAGGUGGCUUCCAGCUGAGUCUUGAAGGAUGUUAGCUAGCCAACGAGGCAGUGGGAUGGACAUGGGAGUGAGUCUGCCAGAGGCAGCUGCGUGUGUCACAGCAUAGAAGGGGGAAUGGCUCAGCUUGAGGGCCAGAGGUUAGAGGCGAGCAGGCAUGAGAAGAGGCGGGUCUUGGGUUUUCCUCCAACCAGACUGUAAACUCCUUGAGGGCCAAGACCACAUUUUACACUUCUGUCUUUCAGACAGCUGAUCA